rnacentral:rRNA from 1 species
GACAACUCUAGAGAUAGAGCCUUCCCCUUCGGGGGACAAAGUGACAGGUGGUGCAUGGUUGUCGUCAGCUCGUGUCGUGAGAUGUUGGGUUAAGUCCCGCAACGAGCGCAACCCUUAAGCUUAGUUGCCAUCAUUAAGUUGGGCACUCUAAGUUGACUGCCGGUGACAAACCGGAGGAAGGUGGGGAUGACGUCAAAUCAUCAUGCCCCUUAUGAUUUGGGCUACACACGUGCUACAAUGGACAAUACAAAGGGCAGCGAAACCGCGAGGUCAAGCAAAUCCCAUAAAGUUGUUCUCAGUUCGGAUUGUAGUCUGCAACUCGACUACAUGAAGCUGGAAUCGCUAGUAAUCGUAGAUCAGCA